rnacentral:rRNA from 1 species
UGGGGAAUUUUGGACAAUGGGCGCAAGCCUGAUCCAGCCAUGCCGCGUGCGGGAAGAAGGCCUUCGGGUUGUAAACCGCUUUGUCAGGGAAGAAAUCUUCUGAGUUAAUACCUCGGGAGGAUGACGGUACCUGAAGAAUAAGCACCGGCUAACUACGUGCCAGCAGCCGCGGUAAUACGUAGGGUGCAAGCGUUAAUCGGAAUUACUGGGCGUAAAGCGUGCGCAGGCGGUUUUGUAAGACAGAGGUGAAAUCCCCGGGCUCAACCUGGGAACUGCCUUUGUGACUGCAAGGCUUGAGUGCGGCAGAGGGGGAUGGAAUUCCGCGUGUAGCAGUGAAAUGCGUAGAUAUGCGGAGGAACACCGAUGGCGAAGGCAAUCCCCUGGGCCUGCACUGACGCUCAUGCACGAAAGCGUGGGGAGCAAACAGGAUUAGAUACCCUGGUAGUCACGCCCUAAACGAUGUCAACUGGUUGUUGGGAAGGUUCCUUCUCAGUAACGUAGCUAACGCGUGAAGUUGACCGCCUGGGGAGUACGGCCGCAAGGUUGAAAC